rnacentral:rRNA from 1 species
UACGUAGGGUGCAAGCGUUGUCCGGAAUUAUUGGGCGUAAAGAGCUCGUAGGCGGUCCGUCACGUCGGGCGUGAAAACCCAGGGCUCAACCCUGGGCCUGCGUUCGAUACGGGCGGACUAGAGUUCGGUAGGGGAGACUGGAAUUCCUGGUGUAGCGGUGAAAUGCGCAGAUAUCAGGAGGAACACCGGUGGCGAAGGCGGAUCUCUGGGCCAUUACUGACGCUGAGGAGCGAAAGCGUGGGGAGCGAACAGG